rnacentral:lncRNA from 1 species
AGCGAGAGAGGCGGGACGCAGCUCGCGGCUGCCGCUCAGGUAGCCGUGCGGACGCGGUCGCUGCCGGGCCGCCGCGACGGGCCGCUGCCGCUUGCUGCCGCGCUUCGCGGCCUCCGCACCGCCUCCUCCCGGGCGGCCGCUGUCACCGCCGCCAUCCUCCGGCUCCCCGGCGGCUCGGAGAGUGGGAGGCGCCCGGCCGGAUUGGGGGCCGCCUCCCUGCGCGCCAGCCGCUUGCAACGGGAAAGAGGAACGGGCGGCGCGCGCCCCGGCAACCGUCGCCUCGCGGCCGGCACUGGAGGAGCGGCGGCCGAAUCGAGGCAAAGCGCAGAGAUUGGGUCCCGCUGCUCUAGCUCUGCCCUACAACUAGGCCGACCCGCCCAGGCCCCGCCCAGCAUGUGGUGAUGGACAGACCGGUGGCUCCGCCCUCCAGGAGACUCCCCCACCACCAAUCAGAAGGCGGCCCCUCCUGCCGCACGUGGCCUGUGAGCGCUGAAGAAAACCAAGUGCACCUUUUCCUGGCUAGGGCGUUCGUGGCAGUAUCCCGUGUCUGGAGCUUUGAGUGGGUAGAUAAUGACCUUCGUUGGUAUUGUAUACACUGAUUAAGCAAACAACAGUCUCAGCAAUGAAGACGAUUUAAAACAAAAAACAGUACAGGAGCGAAGGACAGAACGAAACAAGGGGAAGGCUGAAGCCAACUUGAUCAGAAUUAUGCUAGGGGAAGGGAAGAGCAAAAAAUUGGAAGAACGAACGAUAAUCCAGCUUGACCUUCAAAGGCAGAGCAAAAACUGAGGUGCAGAGACUAUCUUCUCCCGAGAUCCAGCCUUCGGGCCUAACACCAAGCCAAAUUAUGCAGGCUGUAAAUUGUUUUACCUUUUUGGACUUUAGCUUCCUUGCCCAGAAUGUUUGAGUUAAAUCUCCAGAGCGAUAGUAGCUUUAAAAUCUUGUGGGUUUCUCUAAAUGGAACUUAACAGGAUUCUAAAUGCCUUCCUGUGUGUGGUGCUUGGUCUAGCAGGCUCUGACCCUCCCAUUUGGCGGGUACUGGUAGCAUUGUCUAUGUGCAAGUGUGUUUGUACAAACUGCAAAAAUGCACUGUCGCUGUUUUACGCUUU